UGCACGACACAGCUGAUUUUGUCAUUGGCAAAAUGAUCACACAUCAGCCAGGAACAUUUCCUACACAGAAGACGACAGGAAGUCGAAAUGCUCUGAACCUGUGGAGAUCCCUAAUUUCUUCCUCUCAUCUUACCACAUGGAGGCUUUGAUGAGAGCUCAACACGUAACACCCAUCUUCCCCCUUGCCUCUUCUGACCCAAAAUAGAGCUCUCUUAGACAUGAGAUUCUCUCUCGGCGCGUUCCUCAUCCCAGGCCAAAUAUACCACCAUCGUCCGUGAAGACAAGAGACCAAGAGAAUAGCAAAGAUAUUUGCAUMUCAUUUUAAGGACGAACAUUAGCACUAUAUGAAUAUGGUAUAUGAAUGACCACACAUCUUGAUUACAUAAGUGGCUGCUCAUGUACAGUGCUUUCUAAUUAUGUAAAGAAUAUGUGCAUUUAAUUUAAAUAUUGUUUUUAUUAAUUAAAUGGUUUGCCAGUGUAACUGAUGUUUUUCUGUGUAUUUAUUAUUGCUGUGCACCCAUGAUCACGGACGUGGGAGACUCCCAUAGCCUUUCAAGGAUUGUCACAGGGGAAAACAUUUUGUCAAGUAGUCAACAGGAUAUCAAGUAUUGACAAACCUGUCUAGUUGUCCUUGUUUUUCCAACAAAGUGAUGAACAGUUUGUUCUUAAAGUGAUGUCACCUUUGUUUGGAUUUCUGCAGGUGUCGGGGUUAGUGGGCUAGUGUUCUAUUCUCUGCGUCCCAAGGCAGUCACACACUAUUCAAGAGACACUUCUGUUCCUGAUACCAGAGACUGCUCAGGCACACAGCCGAUCAGGGACAUGUAUGGAUUGGCUGAGUAGAUGGGUGGCCACACCACUAUUAUGGAGUGUUACAUAAUUAUUAUAAAGUUUAAGUUGAGUCUGUGCUAUUUCAACUAGACUUAUUCCCUUGGCUCCCUGCUGCAAAUUAAAUUCAUUGUUUGUAAGACCUUCUACGGUGUCUUGCAAAUCUGUUUGGUCAGUAUUACUGAAGGUUACCAAUGACAUAAUACAUGACGUAUCUUAACUUUUUGACAGAACUAAAUGCAUGUUUUUUUAAGGUUCAACAGAACAUUGACUGUUAUGAUCUGUGAAACUGACAUAAUUUAGCAUAAUGUGUUAUACUGCCUUAGACCACUGCGCCACUCAAGUAUGGUCAUUGCAAUGUAGCCCGUGUGGCUCAGUUGGUAGAGCAUGGYGCUUGCAACGCCAGGGUUGUGGGUUCAUUCCCCACGGGGGG